CAAGGGAAAGUAAGUAGCAAAAGCCUUUUUGUUUUUUUGUAAUCUUCUUCAGCUUGCAGUCGUACUCGUCUGAAGGACCCCAUAAAAAGGUUCAGGCGUACAGCCAAUCGGCCAUCAGUGUAUUUUCAUCUAGUCUCUCUGUUUUAGCCUUAUUCUGAAUUUGAGAUCUGAAACCUUUUUAAGGUAAUUAAUAGUAAUUUGUAGCUUCUGGUAUUAUUUUCUCCUAACCUAAUAUUUAUUUAGCUAGACGAACGGAUAUUCGUAGAUUCAUAAAUUGCUUGUAAUCAGAAUCUUUCAUUUCUUAGUUCAUAUUUAUGUGUUUGCAGCUGUAUUAAGAGCUUGGAGAUAUCAAGUUUCUGUAUAGAUUACCAGAAUUAGUCGCUUUUAAACUCUGUUUAUCACGAGGCAAGCCUGGUUUUUGGAGUUUAAACUACUUAUGAUGCUACUACCAUAAAAAUUGAUUGUGUUAUUUCUGAAUUCUGAUUUACUUACCCAAUGUUCUAUCUUUAAGUUCAAUUUUGUUUGUUAAUGUGUAUCAUUUCAGAAAUCCUACAGCUAGUGUGUGUGUUUUCUUUGCAUGGAUUUGUAAAAGUAAGCUAGCGAACAUAUUAGUGUAUCAUGUAUAUAUAUACUAGUUGUGUCCGGUGACUCCGGCAAUACAUGGACCGGUAAGUUUUAUCCCAAACUUUGGACUGACCAGAUGAUUAAUUAGGGUGAGCGGGAAAUUCAAAAUCAAUAUCCGAGUUAGAUCUGUUUUUCAAACAUUCCAAUACACAGUUCUGUGUCAUCUAUGAUUUUUCUAAUCUUUUUUUUCUUUUUAUUUAUUCUAGUUAAGUGUCUAUUUGUUGUUUAGAAGAGUCUCUGGUUUGCCACCAAAAAGAGUUUCUUCAAACAAAUUACUCGAGGGAUACUUGGCGUUAACUUUUGUUUCUUCUGAAUUCAAAUCACAGUCAUGCUGUUUAGUUCCUGCAAUUAGUCAUACGUUCUCAUAUGAUGCUUGCGAAUAUUCAUUGUUAAAUCUGAGUAAAUUAAAUAUUUUUUGAUUCUCUUAACAGUCCUUUUGACUUGCUUGUUUAGAAUUUUUUAGAUCAUUAUCUGUCAUAAAAUAAAUACCUUUAUAAGUUAAGCAGACUCACAAUUUUACCAAUAUGAUUAAUGCCAUUAUCAGAUUCUAUUUAGUUCAUUUGUCCUUUUGGUUUGUUCCAUAGCAUGUUUAAAUUUUAAUCUUUGCAACUCUGAUUUUGUUUGUACUAGUUAUGUUAGAUCAUUGUUUUGGUAAAUAAUUAACUAAUUAUUGCUACAAGUGCUCUUUCUGAAGUUGUAGGCUAUAAUCAUUUGAUAUGGUACUUGUAUAGAAGCUCAUUUAUAUUUCCUGGUUCCAUGUCACUUUUUC
rnacentral:lncRNA from 1 species